CAAUAGCGUAUAUUAAAGUUGUUGCAGUUAAAAAGCUCGUAGUUGGAUUUCUGGUCGGAAGCUCCUGUCCUCUGAUGAGCGUACAAGUGCGUCCUACCAUCCUCCUGUUAACCUUUAAGGCUUUCGCGGCUUUCUAGGGGCUCAGAUAUUUUACCUUGAGAAAAUUAGAGUGUUUCAGGCAGGCUAGCGCCGGAAUACAUUAGCAUGGAAUAAUGGAAUAGGACUUUUGCCUCUUCUGUUGGUCAUGAGGCUCGAGUAAUGAUUAAUAGGGAUAGUUGGGGGCAUUAGUACUUAACUGUCAGAGGUGAAAUUCUCGGAUUUGUUAAAGACUAACUUAUGCGAAAGCAUUUGCCAAGGAUGUUUUCAUUAA
rnacentral:rRNA from 1 species